CUGUAAGGCAGCUGAUGUGAGGAAGCUGACUCAUGAAGAUGCAGAUAAGGGGCAAGUUGAGUUGCAGAGUGAUUGGGAAGCAUCUCACCUGCACCAUUACCUGGACUUCCUUUUAGUGGGGAAUUAGGGAUGCUUUGGAAAAGUUUUUUAACCUCAACUGGAAGCCAAAUUGCUCUGAGGGAGAUUCAUCCUGCCUGCCCUGCCACUUGUUCAACAAAGAGAAUUUCAGGAAAGAAGCAGUGCUAGUGCAACUGUGUCUUAAAGCACAAACAGAGGAAUGAGAGGUUUGCGGAGACCAAUGGGGCAGCGCGGUUACGGGCGUCCGGACAGAAUGAGGAGGGCACCCGGUCAUGGGUGCCGGGUGCUGGGGGACCAGGCACGGACGAGACGGAAAGGCCAUCCACACGGGGGCAUGCAGCACAGGGCGCCAGGUUGGAGCGUCAGGCCAGUGAGCCGGGUGCCGGGCUGGAGCAUCAGGCGCACCUCCGACCAAGGGAAGCUAGCACACGCGUUGUAAUGGGGAAUCUGCUUGCCACCUAAAUAGUACACCGUUCAGCCCCCUUCGGAACUUGAGAUCGAAAGCCGUGUGAACUGCCUCAGAGCCUGGAUCACCCAUCUAUCUACGCACUCAGGAGGAAGAAAGGCAAACUCGUGCCCUCUUGAAGCCACUGUGUAUUUGAUCCAUUGAUUCGCCGCUCUUAAUUACUGCAACUACAUACUGUAUCUGAAUGUCUGUUAGGGGAAAUCCUCCAACUUAUGUUCUUGACUAUUCCUCACUUUGUUCUUCUGAAUGUAUUUUAAACCCAGAUUGUCAAUUUAUAAAUAAA